UACAGAGGGGGCAAGCGUUGUUCGGAAUUACUGGGCGUAAAGGGCGCGUAGGCGGCCUGUUAAGUCGAACGUGAAAUCCCCGGGCUCAACCCGGGAACUGCGUCCGAUACUGGCAGGCUUGAAUUCGGGAGAGGGAUGUGGAAUUCCAGGUGUAGCGGUGAAAUGCGUAGAUAUCUGGAGGAACACCGGUGGCGAAGGCGGCAUCCUGGACUGGUCCUGACACUCAGGAGCGAAAGCGUGGGGAGCAAACAGG
rnacentral:rRNA from 1 species